CGCUCUCCCGAUACCCCUCACCGACGCACACGUGAAACCCAAGAUGGCCGAUUUGGACCUCAAGGGCGCGCCGUGGACCGACGCCGAAGACGUCCAGCUCUCUGCUCUUCAGGUACGAACCCUUCCGCCCCGCAAUCGAGCAAUCGCAAAGCGUUUUCUGACAAGUGUUGCUUUUCUCCACCAUCCUUGCGCGCAGGCCAAGCACGGCAACCGCUGGGCCGCCGUCGCGGCCGAGAUGCCCGGCCGCACCGGCCAGCAGUGCGCACAAAGGUGGCGCCACAAGGUUAACCCCAACAUCCGCAAGGAUAAGUGGACAGAAGCCGAGGACCGCCAGGUACGAGCCCCCCAAUCGCUCGCGGUUGACCGUCAUCACUCGAUCGUCUCGCGGCACACGCCCCGCGAGAAAAAUUAACGCCGCGGCCUCGUGCGGUUUUUCCAUUGCUGACCGACGCGCCCCCCUCCCCCCGACUUCAAACAGCUCCAAGCGCUGGUGGACACCUACGGCCUUCGCUGGGCCGACAUCUCCCGCCGCAUGGAGGGGCGGACGGACCAGCAGUGCAUGGGCCGCUGGAGGCGCCACCUCGACCCCAGCGUCUCUCGCAAGCAGUGGUCCACCAAGGAGGACCGCAAGCUCGCCGAGCUCAGGGUCCGGCACGGCGCCAACUGGAGCGCCAUCGCCAAGACGAUGAAGAACCGCACCGCGCAGCAGUGCCGCGCGAGAUGGUUCC
rnacentral:lncRNA from 1 species